GCCAUCCUUGAAAUACCACCCUGGUUUGUUUGAGGUUCUAACCUUGGUCCGUUAUCCGGAUCGGGGACAGUGCAUGGUAGGCAGUUUGACUGGGGCGGUCUCCUCCUAAAGAGUAACGGAGGAGUACGAAGGUGCGCUCAGACCGGUCGGAAAUCGGUCGUAGAGUAUAAAGGCAAAAGCGCGCUUGACUGCGAGACAGACACGUCGAGCAAGGACGAAAGGAGGUCA
rnacentral:rRNA from 1 species